UACGUAGGGUGCGAGCGUUGUCCGGAAUUACUGGGCGUAAAGAGCUCGUAGGUGGUUUGUCGCGUUGUUCGUGAAAACUCAACGGCUUAACUGUGAGCGUGCGGGCGAUACGGGCAGACUAGAGUACUGCAGGGGAGGACUGGAAUUCCUGGUGUAGCGGUGGAAUGCGCAGAUAUCAGGAGGAACACCGGUGGCGAAGGCGGGUCUCUGGGCAGUAACUGACGCUGAGGAGCGAAAGCGUGGGGGAGCGAACAGG
rnacentral:rRNA from 1 species